UCCAUAUUCAUGCAGAAUUGCUCAUGAACUAAUACCCAACUCUUUCCAUUUAUUAGUUGAAUUCCUAUAACAAGUAACAAGUGUUUUAUUCCAAGAUUAAGUUAUUACUGAACAAAGAAAAAUUUUCUUUAUAUUAUAAAGGAUGAGAUCAAUUCGGAAGCGCUUUUUCUUAUUCUAGCAAACGGAAUUCCUUUGGUCUAAUUUAGGACUUUCAAAUCUAUUUUAUUUUAUCUAAUUCUAUCUACGCCCCAGGGGCUAGGAACAAAACAGUCCUUUCCUUUUUCUGAUCAUAGAGAAGCCGUAUGAAGCUAAGGUUUCAUGUACGGUUUUGAAAUAGCGGUGGGAACUGUGAUGUUAUCAUCGACUAUGAUUAUCUAACAGUUCAAGUACAGUUGAUAUAGUUGAAGCACAGUCAAAAUACGGUUUUUUUGGAUGGAAUAUUUGGCGUCAGCCUAUAGGUUUUCUGGUUUUUUUAAUUUCUUCUUUGGCAGAAUGUGAAAGAUUACCCUUUGAUUUACCAGAAGCGGAGGAAGAAUUAGUAGCAGGUUACCAAACUGAAUAUUCCGGUAUCAAAUAUGGUUUUUUUUAUCUUGUUUCUUACCUAAAUUUAUUAGUUUCUUCUUUAUUUGUAACAGUUCUCUACUUGGGCGGGUGGAAUUUAUCUAUUCCCUAUAUAUCCUUUUUUGAUUUUUUCCAAAUGAAUAAAGCAGUUGGAAUUUUGGAAAUGACAAUGGGUAUAUUUAUUACAUUAACUAAAGCUUAUUUAUUUCUCUUCAUUUCUAUCACAAUAAGAUGGACUUUACCGAGGAUGAGAAUGGAUCAGUUAUUAAAUCUUGGAUGGAAAUUUCUUUUACCUAUUUCCCUGGGCAAUCUCUUAUUAACAACCUCUUCUCAACUUGUUUCACUAUAAAUAAGCUUUAGUUAAUGUAAUAAAUAUACCCAUUGUCAUUUCCAAAAUUCCAACUGCUUUAUUCAUUUGGAAAAAAUCAAAAAAGGAUAUAUAGGGAAUAGAUAAAUUCCACCCGCCCAAGUAGAGAACUGUUACAAAUAAAGAAGAAACUAAUAAAUUUAGGUAAGAAACAAGAUAAAAUAAACCAUAUUUGAUACCGGAAUAUUCAGUUUGGUAACCUGCUACUAAUUCUUCCUCCGCUUCUGGUAAAUCAAAGGGUAAUCUUUCACAUUCUGCCAAAGAAGAAAUUAAAAAAACCAGAAAACCUAUAGGCUGACGCCAAAUAUUCCAUCCAAAAAAACCGUAUUUUGACUGUGCUUCAACUAUAUCAACUGUACUUGAACUGUUAGAUAAUCAUAGUAGAUGAUAACAUCACAGUUCCCACCGCUAUUUCAAAACCGUACAUGAAACCUUAGCUUCAUACGGCUUCUCUAUGAUCAGAAAAAGGAAAGGACUGUUUUGUUCCUAGCCCCUGGGGCGUAGAUAGAAUUAGAUAAAAUAAAAUAGAUUUGAAAGUCCUAAAUUAGACCAAAGGAAUUCCGUCUGCUAGAAUAAGAAAAAGCGCUUCCGAAUUGAUCUCAUCCUUUAUAAUAUAAAGAAAAUUUUUCUUUGUUCAGUAAUAACUUAAUCUUGGAAUAAAACACUUGUUACUUGUUAUAGGAAUUCCUUUGGUCUAAUUUAGGACUUUCAAAUCUAUUUUAUUUUAUCUAAUUCUAUCUACGCCCCAGGGGCUAGGAACAAAACAGUCCUUUCCUUUUUCUGAUCAUAGAGAAGCCGUAUGAAGCUAAGGUUUCAUGUACGGUUUUGAAAUAGCGGUGGGAACUGUGAUGUUAUCAUCGACUAUGAUUAUCUAACAGUUCAAGUACAGUUGAUAUAGUUGAAGCACAGUCAAAAUACGGUUUUUUUGGAUGGAAUAUUUGGCGUCAGCCUAUAGGUUUUCUGGUUUUUUUAAUUUCUUCUUUGGCAGAAUGUGAAAGAUUACCCUUUGAUUUACCAGAAGCGGAGGAAGAAUUAGUAGCAGGUUACCAAACUGAAUAUUCCGGUAUCAAAUAUGGUUUAUUUUAUCUUGUUUCUUACCUAAAUUUAUUAGUUUCUUCUUUAUUUGUAACAGUUCUCUACUUGGGCGGGUGGAAUUUAUCUAUUCCCUAUAUAUCCUUUUUUGAUUUUUUCCAAAUGAAUAAAGCAGUUGGAAUUUUGGAAAUGACAAUGGGUAUAUUUAUUACAUUAACUAAAGCUUAUUUAUUUCUCUUCAUUUCUAUCACAAUAAGAUGGACUUUACCGAGGAUGAGAAUGGACCAGUUACUAAAUCUUGGAUGGAAAUUUCUUUUACCUAUUUCCCUGGGCAAUCUCUUAUUAACAACCUCUUCUCAACUUGUUUCACUAUAAAUAAGAUAAUACAAUAAUAGUAAGAAUAUUUUCAACACAAAAGCUCUCUCAAACAAGAGAAAGAAACAUAUCUUUUUCAUAGAUAUUUAGAAUGAAUAUG
rnacentral:lncRNA from 1 species